rnacentral:rRNA from 1 species
UGGGGAAUAUUGGACAAUGGGGGAAACCCUGAUCCAGCGACGCCGCGUGUGUGAAGAAGGCCUGCGGGUUGUAAAGCACUUUCGGUGGGAACGAAAUAUGCCGGGCUAAUACCCCGGUAGGCUGACGUUACUCAAUGAAGAAGCACCGGCUAACUCUGUGCCAGCAGCCGCGGUAAUACGGAGGGUGCAAGCGUUGUUCGGAAUUACUGGGCGUAAAGCGCGUGUAGGUGGUCGAGUAAGUCGAAUGUGAAAGCCCCGGGCUCAACCCGGGAAGUGCAUCCGAAACUGCUCGACUAGAGUCCCGGAGAGGAAGGCAGAAUUCCCAAUGUAGGGGUGAAAUCCGUAGAUAUUGGGAGGAAUACCGGUGGCGAAGGCGGCCUUCUGGACGGUGACUGACACUGAGGCACGAAAGCGUGGGGAGCAAACAGGAUUAGAUACCCUCGUAGUCCCUGAGCGGGCUGGCAAGGCGCAU